rnacentral:rRNA from 1 species
UAGUCCACGCCGUAAACGAUGAUCACUCGCUGUCUGCGAUACACAGUAGGCGGCUGAGCGAAAGCAUUAAGUGAUCCACCUGGGGAGUACGAUCGCAAGGUCGAAACUCAAAGGAAUUGACGGGGGCCCGCACAAGCGGAGGAACAUGUGGUUUAAUUCGAUGAUACGCGAGGAACCUUACCUGGGCUUAAAUGUAGAUUGCAUAGAGUGGAAACAUUCUUUUCCUUCGGGACCAUUUACAAGGUGCUGCAUGGUUGUCGUCAGCUCGUGCCGUGAGGUGUCGGGUUAAGUCCCAUAACGAGCGCAACCCCUAUCGUUAGUUGCCAUCAGUUCGGCUGGGGACUCUAACGAAACUGCCGGUGUAAACCGUGAGGAAGGUGGGGAUGACGUCAAAUCAGCACGGCCCUUAUGUCCAGGGCUACACACGUGUUACAAUGGUCGAUACAAAGGGCAGCUACCUGGCAACAGGAUGCUAAUCUCUAAAAUCGGUCUUAGUUCGGAUCGG